UACGGAGGAUGCAUGCGUUAUCCGGAUUUAUUUGGUUUAAAGGGUGCGCAGGUUGUUUGAUAAGUCAGUGGUGAAAGUCUGUCGCUUAACGGUAGGAUUGCCAUUGAUACUGUUGGACUUGAAUAUGGAUGAGGUAGGCGGAAUGUGUAGUGUAGCGGUGAAAUGCAUAGAUAUUACACAGAACACCGAUUGCGAAGGCAGCUUACUAAUCCAUCAUUGACGCUGAGGCACGAAAGCGUGGGGAUCAAA
rnacentral:rRNA from 1 species